UUACGACCAUAUUACGUUGAAACACCUGGUCCUGUACGAUCACCGAAGUUAAGCAACACUGAGUCUGGUCAGUACCUAGAGGGUGACCGCUUGGGAAUACCAGCUGUUGUAAG